GUGCUGGAAGGAGGCUGCAGUGCCUCCACGCGAUGGAUGCGGUCCACCCGACAGCUCAUGUGGCUCACUGUGCGAGGCCAGCAGGAAGAAAGGUGGGCACGGGAUUAUCAUGAGCUCUAGAUAUGCAGCUAAAAGAGUCUGAAAACCAGGAGUCCAAACCCUUGUCUGUGGAAGGCCCACCUUGUUACCCAGCUCCCGAGCAAAGAAAAAGAAGAAUCAAGUCUUCAGUCAGCACACACACUCCAGUCAGUCAGCUCCGCAAUAAAAGCUACCUUUUCCAUGCACCUCCA